CUCUCCCUCUCUACUCUCAGUUUUCUUCUCCUGAAUUCCACCAAUCCAUUAACCCCCUCACCAGUUUCUGUGUUCUGUGACCAGACCUUGCAAGAUUGGACUCAGCUAGACCCUUUGGUACUUCAUCUAUCAGUUCACUUCCCCCUCGGUCAAUUUGAGAUCCCUGCCACCUUGGUGUCCAUUCCAAUUUCUAUCAAGCUCAUUUUUUUAGCAAAAAGAGAGAAGAAUUUAGGUGACGAGACUCCUCCUUCGGACAGGACUUGAGCUGUGGCUUUGGGUGUUCUCUUGUUUUAAAUCUGAGUUGUUAGAGAAGCAUUUUGGGAUGUAUAAAGUUUAUUUUCCUUAAAGUUUGUUUAAGAGAACAGUACCAUAGUUAAAAUAGGUUCUUUUGGGAUAACUGUAUUAUA